CUCCACUGCUGUCCUGGGGACAGCCUCCUGGGCCUCUCAAAUCUCCCUAGAGCAUCUUGGUGACCCGCUGGCGUGCCAGCAUCUCUGGCCCCACGUUCUCCCGCCUCCUGUAAGCCACCUUGGCUCAGGCUCUCCUGACACCCCAAGUUUGCCUUGGGGUGGGGACAGUGGCUGCUGCUCCCAGCCAGGGUCUCGGGGGCGGGAGGCCGCUGUCACCACGAAAUUACUGCAUCAGCGAGGCCGAGGCUGGGUGGACACACAGGCAGCUGUGACCUGUGACCCCCGGCUGGUGAAGCAUGCACACGGCUCACGCGUGCAGCUCCACGGUGUUUGGUAGACGCGGAGGCCCGCGGGGCCGCCACUGAGACCGAGGUAUGCGACACACCCAGCUCCGCCUCCGACUUUCCUCCCCACAGCCUUCUGCACAAAAUGUCAUUGGAAGAAAUGAUUCCGACACCAGAAACCAGAAACCCCUGGGGGCAUGGGGAGUUUCUCUAGGACAGAUACGCAUUCCUUAUAAAAGGGACUGCGCCCCAGCUGGAAUGACCAUGAGCGUCUGUCGGGAUAACGGUGCCCGUGGCCGUGGACCCGACCAUCGCUUGUGAGGGGUUUGUCUUAGACACGGAUUUGCACCCAUCCGAAGUGAUGUCUGUCUAGACUGAUUCGUUGCAGCACUGUUGAGCCGACAACGGGACGGGGCCAAAUGCCAGUCGUCAAGAGACUCGUUAAA